CCUACGGGAGGCAGCAGUGGGGAAUAUUGCGCAAUGGGCGAAAGCCUGACGCAGCGACGCCGCGUGAGGGAUGAAGGUCUUCGGAUCGUAAACCUCUGUCAGGAGGGAAGAAGUGGUUAUAUGCGAAUAGUGUAUGACUUUGACGGUACCUCCAAAGGAAGCAUCGGCUAACUCCGUGCCAGCAGCCGCGGUAAUACGGAGGAUGCGAGCGUUAUCCGGAUUUAUUGGGUUUAAAGGGUGCGUAGGCGGGUUAUCAAGUCAGCGGUAAAAUCGUGGAGCUCAACUCCAUCCAGCCGUUGAAACUGAUGAUCUUGAGUGGGCGAGAAGUAUGCGGAAUGCGUGGUGUAGCGGUGAAAUGCAUAGAUAUCACGCAGAACUCCGAUUGCGAAGGCAGCAUACCGGCGCCCGACUGACGCUGAAGCACGAAAGCGUGGGUAUCGAACAGGAUUAGAUACCCUGGUAGUC
rnacentral:rRNA from 1 species